AUUAAUGUUAUUUUAUUAUGAAAUCUCACCCCUUCUGCUUGAAAAUGUUGCCCUUCGUAUGGGUAACUUGCAGGUGAUCGUGCUUAGUGUGCAGUUGCCGUCGUGAGUGGCCUUGCCUUCACUGUGUCGUCUAGGUCGCUCUGAUACGUAACGGGAUGGGGUUAAUGCUAUAACAUGCUUCAUUCUUUUACGUGAACUGCCAUGAUAAUUUAUGCUUUGAUAAACUCUUUUGAGAUACUUGUUGGGCCUGCGAGCCAAAACG
rnacentral:lncRNA from 1 species